UGGCUUCCCACAAGGAAGGAAGAAGGAAAGAUGACAACACCCUAGCCUAGUGAACCAAAAAGAGAAGUCCCAAAUUGAUAAAAUGCGAGGUGAAGGGGGAAUGUUGAUGAGGUGUAAGUGAAGAAUUGUCAGACAUGAUCACCAGUCUUGUGGAAAACUCUAAAUUGUACCUCUCUGUCAAUCAUCACUACAGCGCAGCUAGCUGGGGUACACAGAAUGUGAGCGACUGGAGUAAUCAUGGACUCAUCCACGACAAUUCCCUUCAGGAUGCUACCUACCCUCAGGAGGUGUCCUUCUGCAAGGUCGUCUUAGUUAUGGGAGAGCUAGUCCUUAGAAUUGUCCUAUAUUCCUGCCUUUAGAUAGGAAAUCCUGAUGAGAACUGAAAGGAAGUAUCAGGAGGUGAUGAUUUCAAAUGCUAGACUGAAACUUAGGUGCCCAGUGGUAGGAUGGUCUUCUCCCAAACAACGGAUGCUUAUGAACAGAAAAGACUACAUUCACCUCUUCAUUCUGCUGGUGGAUGCCAGCACCCUGGAGGACAGUACAGCUUAAAGCACACAACACAGACAGACUCUUUCUCAUCCCAUCCCAUUGCCUGUAUCUGUGACAGGCACGAAGGAGAGCAUGUUCCUGCUCUCCCACAGUGAGGACCGCUUUUCAGUCCUUGUUGGCUGUAGAGAGAACAUAUCACAUGUAGCAACAAGUGCUACACAGACAUCCACAGAACAUGAGGAAGGAGCUCAAACCUCCAGGGUGAGGCAGGCGCCAGGAUAAGGAGAUGAAGCAAUGGCAUCUAAUAACAGCGUGGAGGCUCAAAUCCAGUUGUCUUGAUUUCAGGAUCUGCCAAUAGGUCGGUAUUGCCAGAGCAUCUGAUUUUUCAUUAAAUAUCAGAGAUCCACAAUUUACAGAGGCAGAUUUACUGUGAGAUCUUCUGGUAUGGCUAUUUAAAAAUUUC
rnacentral:lncRNA from 1 species